rnacentral:rRNA from 1 species
GACGAACGCUGGCGGCGUGCUUAACACAUGCAAGUCGAACGGAAAGGCCCUGCUUUUGUGGGGUGCUCGAGUGGCGAACGGGUGAGUAACACGUGAGUAACCUGCCCUUGACUUUGGGAUAACUUCAGGAAACUGGGGCUAAUACCGGAUAGGAGCUCCUGCUGCAUGGUGGGGGUUGGAAAGUUUCGGCGGUUGGGGAUGGACUCGCGGCUUAUCAGCUUGUUGGUGGGGUAGUGGCUUACCAAGGCUGUGACGGGUAGCCGGCAUGAGAGGGUGACCGGCCACAUUGGGCCUGAGAGACGGCCCAGACUCGUACGGGAGGCAGCAGGGGGGAAUGUUGCACGAUGGGCGGCAGCCUGAUGCAGGAACGCCGCGGGAGGGAUGACGGCCUUCGGGUGGUAAAACGAUUUCGCUUGUGACGAAGCGUGAGUGACGGUAAUGGGUAAAGAAGCACCGGCUAACAACGUG